CAUGGGGGAUGCUUACCAUGCAGUCGAACGGAAUCUUUAGGGAUUUAGUGGCGGACGGGUGAGUAACGCGUGAGAAUCUGGCUUCAGGUCUGGGACAACCACUGGAAACGGUGGCUAAUACCGGAUGUGCCGAGAGGUGAAAGGCUUGCUGCCUGAAGAUGAGCUUGCGUCUGAUUAGCUAGUUGGUGGGGUAAGAGCCUACCAAGGCGACGAUCAGUAGCUGGUCUGAGAGGAUGAUCAGCCACACUGGGACUGAGACACGGCCCAGACUCCUACGGGAGGCAGCAGUGGGGAAUUUUCCGCAAUGGGCGAAAGCCUGACGGAGCAAUACCGCGUGAGGGAGGAAGGCUCUUGGGUUGUAAACCUCUUUUCUCAGGGAAGAAAAAAAUGACGGUACCUGAGGAAUAAGCAUCGGCUAACUCCGUGCCAGCAGCCGCGGUAAUACGGAGGAUGCAAGCGUUAUCCGGAAUGAUUGGGCGUAAAGGGUCCGCAGGUGGCUGUGUAAGUCUGCUGUUAAAUAGUCAUGCUCAACAUGAUAAAGGCAGUGGAAACUACAUAGCUAGAGUGCGUUCGGGGCAGAGGGAAUUCCUGGUGUAGCGGUGAAAUGCGUAGAAAAUCGGGGUACGUUACAGCAUGCGAAUGCUAAAAAAACU
rnacentral:rRNA from 1 species